AUGAGGAUUUCCUAGUCUGAAAUUCUUAUCGCGAGAUUUAAUGUUAACACCCUCACAUGAUCAGUGACGAGAUGAAAAUCACAUGUGGGAUAAAAAGUAGUAUGCGGUAUAAUAACGUAGUACAUUCAAGGAUAAUAAUAAUUUUAUUAUCCUUGGUACAUAUGCAGAACUAUUUCUGUCCCGAGUUACCCCAAAGAAGUCGCAGUACUUGGAGAUAACACUGGACAGGUCAUUUUCUUGGCCAUGUAAAGGCUACAGAUUAAAAACAAAAUGUCCUCAAAUCAGUGAUUUGUGCAGAUUCUGACAAUACAGAGCAGAUCUACCUGCGAGCUUCAGGCUGGGCUGUACAGAUGAAAGUUUGACGACGUUUGUAGUCGUUUUAACGCCUCCCACAAAUCAUACAACAAAGCCUUCACUUUCAGGGAGAACACCAUUCCUCCGCCAGGGCGCAGCUUUGCCGUAUUCCCACUGUUGAGUGUCUCCGCCAGCUGCCGUUUACAUAGCUUGGAUACAGAAGGGAACGAAUAAAUACAAGGAGGUGACAUGGAGCCUGAGCAACAUGAACCAUUACUCAGACCAUCUCAGCAAAAACUGUGGAGAACAAGUGUUCCGGCUGCUACAAAGAAAUGAAGCCUUAUCAUACCUUCUCCAGAAUCUACUGCUGAACACCGCAAUAAUACCCUAAAACAUUUGAAAAUGUAGUAAUUCUACCAGUUGAAGAUAAGAGGAAGCACAGAACAGAAUUAAUCGCCUGCUAGAUUUAUAGUCUCUAAGCUAGGACCCGAGGACAGAAGCAAUACGAAAAUUCUUGAGGGACACAUCAUAUGAUCUUUUACAAGAGGCAGCACUCAUGAGAACUAUAUUUCUGAAAUUCAGAUAGCCAAGAAAGGUUAUUGUGUGGUAACUUUAAUAUACAACACUGCAUGUAUUUCACUGUUCUGUAAAUGCCAGGGAGAUGCAGCAUGCAUUGGAGUUAACAGUGCAGCACUUUUGUGUUCAGUAGCAUGACUCAUUAAUCAUGAGACUGGCCAUAUUCUUGUACUGCCUUUGCUUUCAUUACUUGGCCUAAUUAAACAGUUCUCUGAACUGGAAUCUCAGAUUCCUCUGUUACAGAUUAUCAUUAAUUAUGGUGAAAGUGCUCAGAGAUGUUGGACUCAAUUAUAUUCUGCUCAACCCUGGCACUCAAGUGAUUCAUUGCUUUGCCUGCUUUGCAGAUGUACUGUCUUUCCUUAUCAGGAGCUUCCACUUUUGUAAAUUGGGCUCUGCCAGCCAACAAACUAAGAAGUAUGUGCUGCUUUUUCAUUAAAAACAUGUUGGAGAAGCACAGACCAAUUAAGGAUUCCUUAUUUUAUCUGGAGUGAUGAGAUGGGUUUGGUGGAUACUUGGAGAAUCAGCUGAGUCAAGAUCUUGACCAGGAAACAGGGUCUUUCCAAGACAUUUCUUUACAUACAGUUUAGACACUGAUCCAGCUUAUUAGAAUAUUAUUUCGUUUUUUCUGCCAUACAUAUAUACUUACUAAUUAAGAAUCACAAAAGGCAACUCAUUUUAAAAACAAAGGUUUGUAAAUGAAGUGGUGCAAGCAGUCCCAGUACUGUCUUACAUGUUUGUUAUUUUUCUACUUUUAUGCUUUCAUUUAUAUGAAGAUUUUGUAAAUUAAUCCAGUAUUAAUAUAUGUGGUGUGAUAUGCAAAUAAGAAUGAUUAGGAAUAACAUUACAUGAGAGAGUAUCAUAUAUGUUUAUAAUCAAUCCAAUCCAUAGAUUAAAAAAACUUAAUGAGUUGAAUUGACUAUGUGUAUGUUAACAGAUUAAUACCUACUUUUAGAAAUUGGACUUUUUCCCAUUGCUGUUAUGAUAUGAUACAAUGGGACAGAUAGAAAAACAGGUAAUAAAUGACACAAAUUAAGCCUCACAUCAUCCUGUUUGUGAAUUUGGUCUGUAUGGAAAGUGCUAAUGGGUUUGUGUGAAAUAUGGACAGAUUAGAUACUUUCCAAAACAAAUAGUA